AUGGAAGAUACAAGAACUGCUAAUGGGCGUUCAAGGUCUUGGGGUGGGCAAUUGGUAACUUAUAACCAUCAUUUCAGAAAUGAAAUAUUCAAUGUGUUGCAUGAUCAACUUAUUGUGGAGUUAAACAACCGCUUUGCUGAAAUGUCUACUCAAUUGUUAAGAUGCAUUGCUUGUCUUGAUCCCAAGAAUUCAUUUGCCAAUUAUAUUGAAGACAAGCUAGUAGAUCUUGCUAAUAUGUAUUCUGCUGAUUUCUCCACAUAUGAAGUUGCUUUUGUCCUUAGAAACCAACUAGACUCAUUCAUUCGGGAAGCAAGAGCUGAUCCACAUUUGAUGAAUUGCAAUGACCUUGGUCAUCUUGCCAUAAAUAUGGUUACAAGUGAUAUGCACACAACUUUUCCCUUGGUUUACCGUCUUGUUGAGUUAGCAUUGAUUUUACCUGUUGCAACUGCAAUAGUGGAAAGGGCAUUCUCAGCAAUGAGCAUUAUCAAGACUGGAUUGAGAAACAAAAUGGGUGAUGAUUGGAUGAAUCAUAGAAUGGUAUGUUACAUUGAGCGAGAUGUAUUUGUGAGUGUAAAGAAUCAAAGAUCAUUGAGCGAUUUCAAGGUUAUCGCAAUCGCAAAUGCCUUUUGCCUUGUCCUAGAUCUUCUUCUGCUAUUGAAGAUGUAG
rnacentral:rRNA from 1 species